CACUGUGUGGCUCCAGCCAUCACAAUACCUCAUGUACAAACAAAUUCAUUUUCAGCUGGCACCCCUGAAAUAGAAAACAACUGAGAGUCUCUCAAAUGUGGGGCCCCUGAGGUGAAGACAGAAUUGUAGGAUUCAGUUGCUCAGAGAUGAUGGAGAGGCUGAUGGGGUUGCAGCCACAGAGGAAUUCAGCACCAGUUGUGAUUGAUUUAUACUCUGACAGAGCGACUAUGAAGCUAACGGGGACCAUAUUGCUAAAACCUGCUUGGCUUUGGGAGAGAGACUACUUACCACCAAUGGAAUUCAGAAACGAUGGAGUUCCCCUUCCAUGUGGACCACUAUCUUGCGCUGCCAUGUUUCCUCUGUAGCACAGAACGGACAAACUUACGGUUGUACAUUGGUGAGCACCAAAAAUGCACAGAUUGUCCUCACACAAUAAGGACUCAAGUGGGGAGUACUUCCAAAGAACCACCCUGCUUGGACUGUAUGAAGUGAUGCAUCUGUAAAAAUCAGAAGAAGUGUGUGGCUGGAAUUUGAUGUCCAUCAUGCAGAUCCCCAAAUGACCUCAAUGUAUUCCCUUGGUUAUAAAUCUUCAAACCUUUCAAUACCGCUCUGUGCCCGUCACAGGAGCUUCUUGUCCCUAAAGGACACUGAUGCUUCUGGAGUUUCCCCAUUGGCUUGAUGUCACUGAAUAUUCCGAUUUCUACACAUUGUAUCGUAAAGUUAUACUUUCUGGGCAUUUCUGCUGCUCACUCUUUUGGUUGCCAUUUAUUUGGUACAUAUAGCAAAAAAGUAUGCAGGGUAAUACUUAAGUCCUGCAAUAAAUCCUACCUUUAUGGUUUGACACCUCAUUAAAAAAGAAUCCAUAAAAACGUAAUACAACAUUCAUGAAAGCAGGAUUUAUAGCAGGACUGUUGACAUGCACACUCUUUAAACUUCACGUCUUUUCAGACUUCUUGUCUGUUUUGGCUCCAAAAUGAAACGUGACAGUUUAUCCUUCACUUGGAAAUAGUAUUUUGAAAAGAACACUGCCAACUCAUUUUUCAAUCACAAGCUGUUUACAGGGUUGCAACCGUAUUGCGACAAAGCAACUUUAGGCUGUAUGAUAUAGCUAAUAGCCAAGAAAAAAAGAAAGUGAGAUAGGCUGAAUUUUGUGAUUCCAGGUGAAAAUGAAUAUUCAUGUUUCACAAAAAUGAUCGGUCCUGAUUUUGAUUUGGGUAUCACUGAAUUUUUGACAGUAAUGAAGAUACAAUUUAUCUCUGGAUCAAAUCCUUUGACUCAGGAACAUCCUGCUUCGAAGCUGAAGGGCACACAGGAUUGCAAAUGUCUUAUAAUCUUAUAAACAUCUAAACAUCUUCA